GCUUGGACUCUUCAUUUUCGAUUUGAUUCUAAACUAGUUCAAAAUUAGUUUGAACCCAAUGAUAGGAAUGAACCUAAUCUAAUUAAAAACCCAACCAUCUCAAUAAAUUUCUAACCCAAUUAGAAAUUAAUUGAGCCCAAGUCUUGAUCAAAUCAGGAAUAAGUUUUUCUUGUAAUUAGGCUUAAUUAAAUCAAACUCAAUCUAAAUCAAACUGAAUCCAAUUCAAUUAGACUUGA
rnacentral:lncRNA from 1 species